CUAAUGAAUGCUUAAAUUUAUGUCAAUUAUAAUAUUAUAUCAAUUUUCAAUCAAUCGACAAUUAGAAUUUACUGACAUGUCUUUUUGAAAAAUUCUCUCUCUUUUUGGAAGAGAGAGAAAUUUCUCUCAUUUGGUUGCUUAGCCUUUUUCUCUUGGAACUGCCGAGGAGAUUUUCUUCUGGCUUUUUCUGCCCUUCGGGGUAGGCGAGGUGAUCGAUGUCAAUUUAUCAAAUCAGGCGUAAGGUUGCUCUCCUUCGUCUCUGUUCGGUAUGCAUAGUUUUGAGUUUGGUUUUGCAGAUACUGUGCAAGGUGAGAACAUAUAUUUAGUUCCCUGUGUAGAUUUAAUAAUAGCCAAUCGUUGAUAUUCUGUAAAAAUAGAAUGUAAUAUGUAGGGAGUCUACCUGAAUUGUUUGGCUACAAUAGACUGAAACGCCUUGGACCUCUACAUUUAAGGCCAUCUUCUUCUCUGGAAAUGUUGCAGUCGAUUGGUUUUGGAGACUUUAGUCUAGUGGCGACUGGAUUUCGGUUUGAGCAUUGGAGGUCUGAUGGUAGUACUGUUGUUUGCUCUUGAAGAUCUUUAUCUUUCUCCUUAGUUGCUGCACAACCAGCCUGGGAUGUCCGAUGAGGCUGAUCAAGUGUUUUUGGUGGUUUUCUUUUCCUGUGUGCUUUCGGUUGGUGGUUUUGUUAGCUGGCUGCACUAUUUUCUAAGAUUAGUGCUUUACGAAUUUAGACUGAUUUUUUUAGUUAAGUUAUUGGCUUUGACCUUUGUGUAUUUGACUAUGUAGUUUUUGUUGUAUAUAUCCUUUAUGACAGGUGUUUUUUUUAUUAUUU
rnacentral:misc_RNA from 1 species